CGACCUACGGCAGCUCCUCCAUUGCUGCAAAUCUCUCACAGGACACUGUGAGCCUAGCCACUGACUCAGUCCCUGGCUACACUUUUGGUUGCAUUGCAAAAGCCACAGGCAGUUCGGUGCCUCCUCAGGGGCUUCUGGGGCUAGGCAGAGGACCAUUAUCCCUUUUAUCCCAAACCCAAAAUCUUUACCAAUCGACAUUCUCAUAUUGUUUGCCUAGCUUUAGGUCUCUGAACUUUUCUGGGACAUUGAGGCUUGGACCCAAUGGCCAACCCAAGAG
rnacentral:lncRNA from 1 species